GGGGAUCGCAAUCGCAAUAGGGAUGGCAACGGAGUUAGAGAUGACCAAUGAUAAUGACAAUGACCAUGACUAUUAGCGAUGCUGUUUAGAUUGCCAACUCUUCAAAGAAAAGCUAGUUCUCAAUCUGGGCUUUUCUGUCUUACAGAUGCUAACUUUGCAAGAUUUAGAACUGAUCGGUGUUCCACAUCUAGUUUCUGAACUUUCUAUGGUGAUCAUCUUAUAUCAUGGAAAAGCAAGAAACAAGUGAUUGUUUCUAGAUCUUCUGCAGAGGCUGAGUAUUGGACUAUGACACAAGGUAUCCCAGGACUUCAUUCUUUCUCCUCAAGUGAUGCCACUGUGAGAUCUCACUAGCAGCAACAUGUGUUCGAGCUGAAUCAUGGCUUGUGCAGGCAUGAACGACUUUGCAUAGGAGUCAUGACUUGUGACAUGAGCCAUGAGUGUUCUAUUGUAGAAUUAUAUCUACAAAAAGGGCCACGAGUGUUCUUUGCUGUCCCAGUUGGAUCAUCUUUUGUUGUUUCUAAAUAGGGGUGAUAAACGGGUUUUGUCCAUUCAUUCUUUUGAGGACUUGACAUAUAAAUCCUUGUUUGACAAAAUCAUUGACAAUCCGAGAGUGCCUUUCUUCACCUUUUACAAAAACAUUUGGAAACCUUUUUGUACUGCCUAAGGUGAAAUUUUUAUGUGGUUGUUGGCUCGUGGAGGCCUUUUGAUCAAUGACACCUUGCAAAAGAGGCCUAAUUGCUAUCUUUCUCCUCAAUGAUGUGUCAUGUAUAAGAAAGAUGAGGAGUUUUUGAAUCAUCUAUUCUUACAUUGCCUUGUGGUGUUGAACUUGUGCCAUGACUUUUUCGUUUGGUGGAGCUGUCAUGGGUGGCUCCAAGGGCAAGUAUUCAUGUUCUUUUAAUUGACUUUCAGAGAUUUGGGGGUAGGAGGAGAGCAAAAGCAUUGUGGCUUGGUGUGGUUGGUGCAAUAAUUUGUGUUAUUUGGAUGGAAAGGACGCAAGGAUUUUUGAAGAUAGAUUUGGGAGCGUGGAUUCAAUGUGGGAUAGAGUUCAUACCUUGGCAUCCUUUUGGGCCUUAGUGUCCCCUUCUUUUGGAGGGGUCCUGCUCUUUUUGAUUUCCAAAGAUUGGAAUGUUGUUUGCAAAU